rnacentral:lncRNA from 1 species
AACCAUUAGACAAAAAAGACUUAUAUAUAUAUAUAUAUAUAUAUAUGAUGGAUACUAAUCUAUUACAUUUGGCUCAGAUGUAUCUUCAUUGCUUUAUUUUACUGUGAAAGAGACUCAAACUCUUGCCUUAGCAAACUGCAUCACCUCAUAAUUAUAUGAUUAGUAUGAUGUUUUAUAAUUAACUUUAACAACUAGCUUGAUAAAAUAGUUAAUUC